AAAUUGAAGAGUUUGAUCAUGGCUCAGAUUGAACGCUGGCGGCAGGCCUAACACAUGCAAGUCGAACGGUAGCACAGAGAGCUUGCUCUCGGGUGACGAGUGGCGGACGGGUGAGUAAUGUCUGGGAAACUGCCUGAUGGAGGGGGAUAACUACUGGAAACGGUGGCUAAUACCGCAUAACGUCGCAAGACCAAAGAGGGGGACCUUCGGGCCUCUUGCCAUCAGAUGUGCCCAGAUGGGAUUAGCUAGUUGGUGAGGUAACGGCUCACCAAGGCGACGAUCCCUAGCUGGUCUGAGAGGAUGACCAGCCACACUGGAACUGAGACACGGUCCAGACUCCUACGGGAGGCAGCAGUGGGGAAUAUUGCACAAUGGGCGCAAGCCUGAUGCAGCCAUGCCGCGUGUAUGAAGAAGGCCUUCGGGUUGUAAAGUACUUUCAGCGGGGAGGAAGGGAGUAAGGUUAAUAACCUUAUUCAUUGACGUUACCC
rnacentral:rRNA from 1 species